rnacentral:rRNA from 1 species
AUUGAACGCUGGCGGCGUGCUUAACACAUGCAAGUCGAUCGGUAACGCGGGGGCAACCCUGGCGACGAGAGGCGGACGGGUGAGGAACGCUUGGGAAUCUGCCCUUCAGCGGGGGACAACACGGGGAAACUCGUGCUAAUACCGCAUACGCUCCACGGAGGAAAGCCGGGGACCGCAAGGCCUGGCACUGAAGGAUGAGCCCAAGUCGGAUUAGCUAGUUGGCGGGGUAACGGCCCACCAAGGCGACGAUCCGUAGCUGGUCUGAGAGGACCAUCAGCCACACUGGGACUGAGACACGGACCAGACUCCUACGGGAGGCAGCAGUGGGGAAUAUUGGACAAUGGGGGAAACCCUGAUCCAGCGACGCCGCGUGGGUGAAGAAGGCCUGCGGGUUGUAAAGCCCUUUCGGUAGGGACGAAAGCUUUCGACCUAACACGUCGGGAGGUUGACUUAACCUACAAAAGAAGCACCGGCUAACUCUGUGCCAGCCGCCGCCGUAACAC